ACUGCCUCUACAUUGUGGAGAGGUGGUAUCAUAAUGGUCUUCUCACACCUUCCCUUUGUGAUGCUGUAUGGCCAUGUAAAUUGACAAUGGAGGCAUCUGUUAUAUUAAGGGACCUAUUAACACUGGUAAGCUUCACAACUACCAUUUUCAAGACCACAUGAUCCAAUGAACAGAACAAAGUCUGAGAAAAUCAGAAUUCACCUUGAAAUCCUUAGUAUUAGAUUUGAAAGAGAGAACUGGCUUCAUCUCACUGAUCAACACAGCCGGAUCAUGAAUACCAGAGUGAAGGAAGGAUUCUGAGGGCAAAAGGAAAAGGAAAGCUCUUUUAAUCUCCUUUUUAUGUAGAUUGUCUGUCAAGUGAAAUCUUCACAAUGAUGACAAAAAAAGUAGACAGAGGGCUACAAAACUUCUCUCAGGACAGAUGGAGUCCAGUUGGCAUGUACAUCACAGCAUCAGAGAUAACUGUGGAUGAGAUGCCAGGGAGCUGCCUACAAUCGUAGCCACUGAUCUUGACAUGCAUUACAACCCCAUGCAUUUGUACCAACAUCUGAGUCUGAAUGGCACGUACCUGCAACUGAGCAUUAACUCAGUACAUCAUUCUGAGUGUAUUCACAAUUCAGUUUUAUUAUGUCUGCAAUGUAUCACCAUUCCUUUCCUCACUACUACAAAAACUAUUUUUUCUUGUGAGGGAUGUUACAGCGUAUGCAUUUAUAUGCUUUCUUUGACCUUGUUUGUCUUUAUGAUGUUAAUUGUUUUUAGCAACAACAAUGAAAAUAUUUGUGGUCACAAAACAAAAUAAAUUGGAUUUCAAAUCCUUUCGAUGGGGGUAUUUACUUAGUUUCAUUAUCAAACCAAUCAAAAUGUUGACAGAAGGGAAAAUGUUGUUCUUUCUCCCUGGCUCUGCAGCCAAGUUAGAGGUUUAAAGUGACUUGAAUGUAAUGUAGGGUCAAUCGCAAAUGAGGAUUUCAAUAGAUGUAUGCCAUCCUUUGCUCCCACAGGUUCAAACAGGUGUAACAUCAAUAGGACCACCACCAUUCCCUGGACUUUGAGAGAAGGGUCUUUAAUUGGAUGCUGUGUUCAGGGUCAACAACAAAGUGCCUAAGGGGAGAAAAAACUACUUCCAUGAGCAUUUCUUGUCUUUGAACACUGCCUUUUGAAGUUAAAGGUGGUGACAUCCUCAAAGACCAGAGUCCUAGUGCUUUCAUGAACAUUGACUUAGGCUGGC